UAUGUUUAACGGCCGCGGUAUUUUAACCGUGCGAAGGUAGCGCAAUCACUUGUCUCUUAAAUGGGGACCUGUAUGAAUGGCAUAACGAGGGCUUGACUGUCUCCUUUUUCAAGUCAAUGAAAUUGAUCUUCCCGUGCAGAAGCGGGAAUAAAGCCAUAAGACGAGAAGACCCUAUGGAGCUUUAGACACAAAGGCAGAUCCUGUCAAACACCCCUAAACAAAGGACUGAACCAAAAGAAGCCUGCCCUAAUGUCUUCGGUUGGGGCGACCGCGGGGAAACAAAAACCCCCCACGUGGAACGGGAGAACCCCAUCUUCCAUCUCCUAAAACUAAGAGCCCCCGCUCUAGUUAACAGAAUUUCUGACCAAAAAUGAUCCGGCACUGCCGAUCAACGGACCAAGUUACCCUAGGGAUAACAGCGCAAUCCCCUUUUAGAGCCCGUAUCAACAAGGGGGUUUACGACCUCGAUGUUGGAUCAGGACAUCCUAAUGGUGCAGCCGCUAUUAAGGGUUCGUUU
rnacentral:rRNA from 1 species